UACAGAGGGUGCGAGCGUUGUUCGGAAUUAUUGGGCGUAAAGGGCGCGUAGGCGGUGCGGUAAGUCACCUGUGAAAUCUCCUGGCUCAACUGGGAGCUUGCAGGCGAAACUGCCGUGCUGGAGUGUGGGAGAGGUGCGUGGAAUUCCCGGUGUAGCGGUGAAAUGCGUAGAUAUCAGGAGGAACACCGGUGGCGAAGGCGGGUCUCUGGGCCGUUACUGACGCUGAGGAGCGAAAGCGUGGGGAGCGAACAGG
rnacentral:rRNA from 1 species